CAGCAGCCGCGGGAAAACGAAGGGUGCAAGCGUUACUCGGAAUUACUGGGCGUAAAGCGUGCGUAGGUGGUGGUUUAAGUCCGUUGUGAAAGCCCUGGGCUCAACCUGGGAAUCGCAGUGGAUACUGGGUCACUAGAGUGUGGUAGAGGAUAGUGGAAUUUCCGGUGUAGCAGUGAAAUGCGUAGAGAUCGGAAGGAACAUCUGUGGCGAAGGCGACUAUCCGGGCCAACACUGACACUGAGGCACGAAAGCGUGGGGAGCAAACAGGAUUAGAUACCCCUGUAGUCCCUGUCUCUUAUAC
rnacentral:rRNA from 1 species